rnacentral:rRNA from 1 species
AUUGAACGCUGGCGGCAGGCCUAACACAUGCAAGUCGAGCGAGCGGCGGACGGGUGAGUAAUGUAUGGGGACUGCCCGAUAGAGGGGGAUAACUACUGGAAACGGUAGCUAAUACCGCAUACUAUCGGAUAACCCAUAUGGGAUUAACUAGUAGGUGAGGAAAUGGCUCACCUAGGCGACGAUACCUAGCUGGUCUGAGAGGAUGGUCAGCCACGAUGGGACUGUGGCACGGCCCAGACUGCUACGGACGCGGCAGUGGGGUGUAUUGCACAAUGGGCGGUGUCAUGAUGGAGCCAGGCCGCAUGUAGGAAGAAGGACCUAGGGUUGUAGAGUACUUUCAGUCGGGAGGCGUUACCGACAGAAGAAGCACCGGCUAACUCCGUGCCAGCAGCCGCGGUAAUAC